rnacentral:rRNA from 1 species
AUACGUAGGGUGCGAGCGUUAAUCGGAAUUACUGGGCGUAAAGCGUGCGCAGGCGGUUUUGUAAGACAGUGGUGAAAUCCCCGGGCUCAACCUGGGAACUGCCAUUGUGACUGCAAGGCUGGAGUGCGGCAGAGGGGGAUGGAAUUCCGCGUGUAGCAGGGAAAUGCGUAGAUAUGCGGAGGAACACCGAUGGCGAAGGCAAUCCCCUGGGCCUGCACUGACGCUCAUGCACGAAAGCGUGGGGAGCAAACAGGAUUAGAUACCCUGGUAGUCCACGCCCUAAACGAUGUCAACUGGUUGUUGGGAAUUUAUUUUCUCAGUAACGAAGCUAACGCGUGAAGUUGACCGCCUGGGGAGUACGGCCGCAAGGUUAAAACUCAAAUGAAUUGACGGGG